UGGUGUAUUUAUAUAGACCUUUCUAAAAAGCUUGCUUAGUUUUAACCUUUCCUUCGUCUUUAAGGUAAUAUUUAGUUCAGUCAGCAGGUGGCACCAACCCUUAAGGUUGUAAGGCAGUGAGGAGCAACAGACUCCCUCUUUAGCCUAUGAAGGUCAACAGGCAGGACGGACUUCAGAGCCAGACCAGUUCACAGAAGCUAUCUUCCAGCUCUUCGGAAUGGGAGCGGCAUAUUGGCAAUUUCUGUGACUUCCGGCGCAUGUGCAGUUGUGCCGGAUAGGAAGAUUGCUUCAACUAUGCAUGCGCCGAUACAGCGAUCUCAUUCCAAGAUUAUUGAAGAGAAGAAGAUGGCUCCCGUGAACUCCGCUGGACAGAAUCUGCAAUGAGGGGAAUGAGUGGGCUACAGCUGA